rnacentral:rRNA from 1 species
CCUACGGGAGGCAGCAGUGGGGAAUAUUGGGCAAUGGAGGAAACUCUGACCCAGCAACGCCGCGUGAAUGAUGAAGGUCUUCGGAUUGUAAAGUUCUUUUCUAAGGGAAGAAGAAAGUGACGGUACCUUAGGAAUAAGCCUCGGCUAACUACGUGCCAGCAGCCGCGGUAAUACGUAGGAGGCAAGCGUUAUCCGGAAUGACUGGGCGUAAAGGGUGCGUAGGGGGUUUGACAAGUUGGUAGCGUAACUCCGAGGCUUAACCUCGGCACUACUACCAAAACUGUUGGACUAGAGUGCAGGAGGGGCAAAUGGAAGUCCGAGUGUAGCGGUGGAAUGCGUAGAUAGUAGGAGGAACACCAGUGGCGAAGGCGAUUUGCUGGACUGUAACUGACACUGAGGCACGAAAGCGUGGGGAGCAAACAGGAUUAGAUACCCUGGUAGUC